ACCAGGACUAGACCAGGACUAAACCAGGACUAAACCAGGACUAGACCAGGACUAAACCAGGACUAGACCAGGACUAGACCAGGACUAAACCAGGACUAAACCAGGACUAAACCAGGACUAGACCAGGACUAAACCAGGACUAAACCAGGACUAGACCAGGACUAAACCAGGACUAGACCAGGACUGAACCAGGACUAGACCAGGACUGAACCAGGACUAAACCAGGACCAGACCAAGACUAGACCAGGACUAGACCAGGACUAGACC
ensembl:lncRNA